AGUUAAUGAGCUUGUAUAAGCAUAUAUUUUGAAAAUAUAAGAAAGAGAUUUUAUUCUCUAUUGACUU
rnacentral:tRNA from 1 species